ensembl:lncRNA
CAACUUGAGCUGUGUAAGUAAGGGAAUUGCUGUGAAACAGUAUUGCUUUCCUGAUUUCCUUUUUGGGUUCUUAAGUAGAUCUCAUUUCAUUUCUUGAGUGAACCUGCUGUAGACUGGGGCAAGCAAGAAUGAAACAUGUAUGCAGUGGUUUAGAAGAUCUUAGAAGGGACAGAGGUGGUACAUUUUCUUUUGUCUUAGAAGUUGGUGUCAGCAGAGAAACUGUUAGGACUUAUAACUCAUGUUAACAAUAAAGGUUUAAAGCUUUAUAGCUAUAAAGUGAUAAAGCUAAGGAAGGAAGAAAUUACUAUCUUCUUCUAACAUGUCAGCUUUAAGUAGAUCCUUGUGCUGUAGUUAUGAAACAAUUCUCUUGCAGAUCGAGGAGACUGGCAGCGGGAAAGAAAGUUCAACUAUGGUGGUGGUAAUAAUGCCCCCUGGGGCAGUGACCGGCACCAUCAGUAUGAGCAGCACUGGUACAAGGAUCACCAUUACGGUGACCGGAGGCAUAUGGAUGCCCACCGUUCUGGAAGCUACCGACCUAAUAACAUGUCCAGAAAGAGACCGUAUGAGCAGUACAGCAGCGACCGAGACCACCGGGGACACAGAGACUAUUAUGACAGGCACCAUCAUGACUCCAAGCGGAGGAGGUCAGAUGAUUUUAGGCCCCAGAAUUACCAUCAGCAGGAUUUCCGGCGAAUGUCUGACCACCGACCCACUAUGGGUUACCACGGCCAGGGACCCUCAGACCAUUACCGCUCUUUCCACACAGACAAGCUGGGGGAAUAUAAACAGCCCCUGCCCUCAUUGCACACUGCAGUCUCAGAUCCUCGCUCACCCCCUUCCCAGAAAUCUCCCCAUGACUCCAAAUCACCCUUGGAUCACAGAUCUCCUUUGGAGAGAUCACUAGAACAGAAAAACAACCCAGAUUAUAACUGGAAUGUCCGGAAAACAUAAAGGACAGCUCUGGAAGGUGAGAGAGCUCAGGAGUCAUCAAGCACUUGGACAUUGUGGUCUGGUCCAGCAGUGGCCAGUGGUCAGGCUGGUGAGUGGAGUUUCUGGAUACACUGCUGCUGAAUCCACUAACUGGGCGGCUGAAGGAGCACUUGAAGGAGUUGGAGGCCUUCGUCUGCUGCUUUGGUUUGGUCUCCACUUCUGCACUUUGGUACCCCAUCCCGUCCUAGCCUAUGGUGGCCUCCCACCUCCAUGGGUGCUAGGAGGAGGUGACUAUGUACCAGCUUCAUUGGGCUACUUCCUCUGUGAAGGAAUCUGGGAUCUUGAGAGUCAAUGAAUGUUAUAUUCAGCAUGAGUGACCAGGGCAAGGACCUGCUGGACAGUGUGUGAUUGGUUCACUAUGACACGAGGGAUGCUGCUGAUGGGAAGUGGGAAGUGGGGUCACAGGGCGUGUUUCACACUGCAAGACUUGAAAGGGGAGCAGGUAUAUCCCUCAGAUUUGUUCUUGGGAGAAAUGAUACACUUGGUCUCAUUAUGUGAAGUGAGGUGGGGAUAAAGAGACAGGGGAAAUGACUUCCACCGUGACCUCCUCCCUACCAACACUAAUUUUUCCCACACUAUCUUUGUACAUUUCAAAGGUUGGGUCUUCUGGGUGGAGUCCGUUUUCCCUCUUCAUCAGGGAGAGUUGGAUCCCUCUGGCUGACUUUAGAAUACUGUGACUUGGGCAUCAUUGAUGCCAGCGUGGGUCUUAUUUGUCUGGGGAGUGGGCUAAGUGGGUGUAGGGGUGGAGAUGGGGGGUGGGGGUAGUAUAACCAGGAAAUGGGAAUCCCUGGUGGGUUUCUGAUUCCUGUGGUGAGAAGGAAAGUCACAGGUCCAGGAGAUGGAAAUGAAGAUGGCCUGCUGAUGAGGUAGCUGCUGGGGAGUCCAGAGGUGGGGCUCUCAUGCAGAGAGGGGCG